GAAUAACAACAGCAAGAAGAAGAAGAAGAAGCGAACAAUGUCUUCAGAUCCUAAAUGGCCAUGGUGUGUGUGUUGAUCAUCGUUUUGUUUUUGUUUACAUUAUCGGAUACAUUAUCAACAUGUUUGAUAUGUUUUUUUUUACACCAAACAGAAACAAAAAGAUUUAAAUUUCGGAUAAACAUAGAUAUGUGGUCAACAGAAUCUAUUCAGCUUUCAUAUAUUAAAGAAUCAGAGAAAAUUUAAUUCAAAUGGAAAUCAUAAUGAUGAAUUGUUGUUGUUGUUGUUGUUGUUGAUC